rnacentral:rRNA from 1 species
AGCAGCCGCGGUAAUUCCAGCUCCAAUAGCGUAUAUUAAAGUUGUUGCAGUUAAAAAGCUCGUAGUUGAAUUUCGGGAUUAGUACGUUGGUCGUGCCUUAGGUACGUACUGGUGUUACUGAUUCCUACCUUCUGACGAACCAUCAUGUCAUUAAUUUGGUGUGGCGGGGAAUCAGGACUGUUACUUUGAAAAAUUAGAGUGUUUAAAGCAGGCUCGCGCUUGAAUACAUUAGCAUGGAAUAAUGAAAUAGGACGUUGACCCUAUUUUGUUGGUUUCUAGGAUUGACGUAAUGAUUAAUAGGGAUAGUUGGGGGCAUUAGUAUUCAAUUGUCAGAGGUGAAAUUCUUGGAUUUAUUGAAGACUAACUACUGCGAAAGCAUUUGCCAAGGAUGUUUUCAUUAAUCAAGAACGAAAGUUAGGGGAUCGAAGACGAUCAGAUACCGUCGUAGUCUUAACCAUAAACUAUGCCGACUAGGGAUCGGAUGAUGUAUUUUUAAUGACUCAUUCGGCGCCUUACG